rnacentral:rRNA from 1 species
AAGACGAACCGUGCGAACGUUAUUCGGAAUCACUGGGCUUAAAGCGCGUGUAGGCGGGCCGCCACGUCGGAUGCUGAAAUCCCCCGGCUCAACCGGGGAACGGGCACCGAUACGAGCGGCCUGGAGGGGAGUAGGGGGACCUGGAACUUCCGGUGGAGCGGUGAAAUGCGUUGAGAUCGGAAGGAACGCCCGUGGCGAAAGCGAGGUCCUGGGCUCCUGCUGACGCUGAGACGCGAAAGCCAGGGGAGCGAACGG